GUUGCGUUCCUCUAAAACAACUAGAGAGUUAACAGUUUGCUUUCAGCAGACUUUGUCCACGUUUUUCUCUCCCUUUUUUCUUCUUCCCUCNGACAACAACUCUGUUAUAGUGUGGUGGGAGACUAAAGCUUGCAGCACUGCCACAUGGCAACCAGGCCAUGCACCUUACUAGCCGCACCUGCUGCAAAUUUCAGCUUCCAAGGCAAAACAAUCCCCACCUGGAUAUUCAAUGCGCCAUUCCUACCUAUUUUAACUUCUGUGCCCACCCACCUGCAGUUUCAAUCGGUCGGUAAAUCUAUGCCAUCUAUUUUUAUUCCUUUUGCUGCAGCGCGUUAAGUAUAUUACUUGGAAUUAUUGGCGCCCCACCCCCGCUCCCUCCGCAAAGGUGUUUUUUGUUUGUUUGUUUUUUUACACGCGUCUCGUCCAAUCCAAACUGGCACUCACACACGACCGUUUUUAAGCCUCCGCCUCCUCGCGCCCUCUCUAAAGAUGGCGAAAAUUGGCACACAGCCUCAGCAGCCGCCUUCGAAUCCGCCGAAAAGGGCCGCUGUGCUAACGGUAGUCCACCCGUCCCUUACUAAAGAUGGCCGAGUCCACCUCAGCAGCAGCGCCGUCGCCAUGCUUAGGACAUCCUGACCGAGAAGCUCGCUGGCUGGCUGGCUGGCUGGCUGCUGGACUUGGGGGAAAGAUGUCGGCGGCGCCGGGACAAGCAGGAAGUUCUCCCGAGGGUCCGUCCGCGGCUGAGCGGCGCGCAGGGGAGACGGCGCGCCGUGCUGGCGGCAGUCCUCCCCGGGCGGCUUCGCUGCCAGGAGUGGAUGCGGCUCGGCGGGGGCUGAGGCUUCGCAACGCCCUCACGGGCCUGAGCAUCGGAGCCAUAGUCGCAGGCAUUUAUGCCUACACCUUUUAUUCUGUCUCCCAAGAGCNUUUCCUGGAUGAGUUAGAAGUGGAAGCCAAAGUCCUUCAGGCACGAGCAGCAAAGACUCCAUCAGACUGAUGAUCGUAGAGUGCGAGAUAAAAAUGGGCCACCAGUUCAGAUGGACGGGGAUGGAAUUAGACUUGUUUCCUUGAAUGCCUUUUCAGCCUGUAUUUGAGGACGUGUUGGCAAAAUGCCCUGGCACGUUUAUCUCCUCCUUGUGGCAUAAGACAACAGUCCAGUGCAUCUAACCCUGCACCACAGAUAUGUUAAAACCAUCCAAUUUAGCCAUUUGAUUUGAGAUGUUGAUAAAUGAGCUUCAUCUGUGUAAGAGGUGUAUGUUUUGGGGUUAAUACUCACAAGGCGUGAGGGAGACUGUGGUGUAAAAUGAGAACUUCUCUAAAUUUCUUAAGUGUGUUAAAAUAUGCAUUAGAAAUUAAAUUAGUAGGAUGAACAAUUGCUCCCAUCAUUUACUUGGCUUCUACACAUUUCAUUUAAACAAAAUGUUUUGAAGUAAACAAUGUCUUGCCGUAAUCUUUACUGAUAUGUAUGGAAGUGUGACACUAAGAUUGUACAACCCAAGAUCAGUAAACUGUUGCUUUAAAAAUCUAUUUCAAUUGCCUCAUGAGGUUUUCUUUAAAAAGGAUUUAUGUUCUCCAGGUGUAUGAGUAUUUCUUCAGUUUGCUGAUCUAAAACAAGUAUAGNCUAUACGCAUUCUGAACUGAAUACCAGUUUUUUUAAUGGUCUGAUUCUCAGGGUCCAUCCACACCUAAGUUUUAAUCCUACUUCAGUCUACUUUCACAUUGAAAGAACNCAUCAGCUAAUUGACUAANCAUUUUCUCUCCACAUUAUCUAACCCAAAAGUGGAUUUUUUGAUUAGAUAAUGCUGACAGAAAACAUCUUAUUACUUCACUGAGGUCUUCUUUCAGUCUGAAACCGAAGUUNGUGCAAUUGACCCCUAAGAGACACUUUUGUGAAGCAGCCAAAUAAGGAGAAGGUUGUAGGCUAAAACUGCACCAGGCAGGAUGAGAAUGUGCUAAGUCUUUUUUUUUUACCNAAUGCAAGCUUCCUUUUUCAGCUG
rnacentral:lncRNA from 1 species